UACGGGGGGGUAAGCGUUGUUCGGAAUUACUGGGCGUAAAGGGCUCGUAGGCGGCCAACUAAGUCAUACGUGAAAUCCCUCAGCUUAACUGGGGACUGCGUGUGAUACUGGAUGGCUUGGAUUUGGGAGAGGGAGUGCGGAAUUCCAGGUGUAGCGGUGAAAUGCGUAGAUAUCUGGAGGAACACCGGUGGCGAAGGCGGCAGUCCUGGACCAAUAUGACGCUGAGGAGCGAAAGCCAGGGGAGCAAAGCGGG
rnacentral:rRNA from 1 species